rnacentral:rRNA from 1 species
CGAAAGCCUGACGGAGCAACGCCGCGUGAGGGAUGAAGGCCUCUGGGCUGUAAACCUCUUUUCUCAAGGAAGUAGAUCUGACGGUACUUGAGGAAUAAGCCACGACUAAUUCCGUGCCAGCAGCCGCGGUAAUACGGGAGUGGCAAGCGUUAUCCGGAAUCAUUGGGCGUAAAGCGUCCGCAGGCGGCCUUGUAAGUCUGUUGUUAAAGCGUGGAGCUUAACUCCAUUUCAGCGAUGGAAACUACAAGGCUUGAGUGUGGUAGGGGCAGAGGGAAUUCCCGGUGUAGCGGUGAAAUGCGUAGAUAUCGGGAAGAACACCAGUGGCGAAGGCGCUCUGCUGGGCCAUAACUGACGCUCAUGGACGAAAGCCAGGGGAGCG